rnacentral:rRNA from 1 species
GAGGGCUCUGAUGCUUAUUGCACCACAUGUGUUUUUCUUUGAAACAAACUUGCUUUGGCGGUGGGCCCAGCCUGCCGCCAGAGGUCUAAACUUACAACCAAUUUUUUAUCAACUUGUCACACCAGAUUAUUACUUAAUAGUCAAAACUUUCAACAACGGAUCUCUUGGUUCUCGCAUCGAUGAAGAACGCAGCGAAAUGCGAUACGUAAUAUGAAUUGCAGAUAUUCGUGAAUCAUCGAAUCUUUGAACGCACAUUGCGCCCUCUGGUAUUCCGGAGGGCAUGCCUGUUUGAGCGUCGUUUCUCCCUCAAACCGCUGGGUUUGGUGUUGAGCAAUACGACUUGGGUUUGCUUGAAAGACGGUAGUGGUAAGGCGGGAUCGCUUUGACAAUGGCUUAGGUCUAACCAAAAACAUUGCUUGCGGCGGUAACGUCCACCACGUAUAUCUUCAAACUUUGACCUCAAAUCAGGUAGGACUACCCGCUGAACUUAAGCAUAUCAAUAAAGCGGAGGAA